rnacentral:rRNA from 1 species
UACGUAGGGUGCGAGCGUUAAUCGGAAUUACUGGGCGUAAAGCGUGCGCAGGCGGUUUUGCAAGCCGGAUGAGAAAUCCCCGGGCUCAACCUGGGAAUGGCAUUCGGGACUGCAAGGCUGGAGUGCGGCAGAGGAGACUGGAAUUCCUGGUGUAGCAGUGAAAUGCGUAGAUAUCAGGAGGAAUACCGAUGGCGAAGGCAGGUCUCUGGGCUGACACUGACGCUCAUGCACGAAAGCGUGGGGAGCAAACAGG